CUCCUCCGAAACACCGCACGAUCUCAGAACAGUGGCCGAGAUCGUCAAGAACGUCUCUCUCGUUGCGUAACGCGGCGGAGCAGACUGCUCCGGAGGAUUUCACGGCGAUCAAGGGAGGAAAGGAGGUUGAGCUUCCAGAGGUAGUGGCUAGAGUGACGGUGGAGAAAGGAGGUUAAGCUUCCAGAGGUAGUGGCUAGAGUGACGGUGGAGAAGCUCCCGUGACCUAUUGUCUCUCUACGAACCCACUCCAUUAAUUGUAGAACUCAAAGCACAAAGAAAUAAAAAGUCUACGAAACAGUUAGUUUCUCUCUG
rnacentral:lncRNA from 1 species